rnacentral:rRNA from 1 species
GCGUGGAUGAAGAAGGCCCUAGGGUUGUAAAGUCCUUUCACCGCUGAAGAUAAUGACGGUAAGCGGAGAAGAAGCCCCGGCUAAUUUCGUGCCAGCAGCCGCGGUAAUACGAAAGGGGCUAGCGUUGUUCGGAAUUACUGGGCGUAAAGCGCACGUAGGCGGCAUAGCAAGUUGGGGGUGAAAUCCCCGGGCUCAACCCGGGAACUGCCUUCAAAACUGCUAAGCUAGAGGAUGCGAGAGGAUAGUGGAAUUCCGAGUGUAGAGGUGAAAUUCGU